UGUUGUUGUUUUAUAGAGUCAGACUGUGUUCUCGGGGAAUACAGGCUUUCUAUCCCAUUCCCAAGUAGGCAAGCAAGUAGGAAAGCCCUUCUCAAGUAGGUUUGGUUGGUUGGCAUAGUCCAUUGUUUAGGAAUCCAAUCCGGAUGUGAAGUAUAGGUAUGCGUAUGGCAAGGGAAUGUGCUUUCGAACUCAAUCGAAUUCCCAACACUAGCCUGGUG
rnacentral:lncRNA from 1 species